rnacentral:lncRNA from 1 species
GGAAGAUUACUAGAUUACGUUUAAGGACUUGAUUACGUAUUCCAUUAAGGUUUAUUUUUAAGGUUAAGAAUAUACACAUGGAGAGAGAAUUAACCAAUCUUUCAAACUUCACGAAACAGAGAAUUAAAUACUAAUCAUGUUGGUCCAAAAUCUACAAUAUGAAUUGCCAAAUGUCGAUAUCGACCGACAAUACUUUAGUUUCCCUUUUAACAUUUUUUUUACGAAAAAGGACUUUCAUUGAAAAUUUUGAUAGUACUAUCAAAAACUGGUUUUGAAUUAGAAAAACAUAUUAAAUUCAUAACUAUUAAACAUACUAGUUUGAGUUUCUUUAAAAUCAAUGAAUGAACUGAACGGUAACAUUUCUGACUAUAUUUUUCUCCAGAAAAAACAUUUUUGAA